rnacentral:rRNA from 1 species
UACGGAGGGUGCAAGCGUUGUCCGGAUUUAUUGGGUUUAAAGGGUGCGUAGGUGGGUUGUUAAGUCUGGUUUGAAAGCUAGCUGCUCAACCGUUAGACGUGGCUGGAAACUGGCGGACUUGAAUGGGUUGGCGGCUGCCGGAACGGGUCAUGUAGCGGUGAAAUGCAUAGAUAUGACCCAGAACACCGAUUGCGAAGGCAGGCAGCUACGACCGGAUUGACACUGAGGCACGAGAGCAUGGGUAGCGAACAGG